UUAAGUUCAGCGGGUGGUCCUACCUGAUUUGAGGUCAAGUCAAAUGAAAUCCAAUCCGAUCCAAUCCAAUCUGGCAAACGUAAACGACCCUCGGAUGCAGAUAGAGUUAUCACACCCAACAAAGAGGCCUUUUAUUUCGCUCAUGUAUUUCAGGGGAGCACACCUCAAAAGAAAAGGCCUGCAAAAAAUAAAACCCCCAC
rnacentral:misc_RNA from 1 species